CGGGAUGUGGCUCAGUCCGGUAGAGCACUGCGUUCGGGACGCAGGGGUCGGAGGUUCAAAUCCUCUCAUCCCGACCA
rnacentral:tRNA from 2 species